GGGAGCUGGACUGCAGUGAUUAUUCCUCCACCAUGGGCAGAUUUUUUCCUCCGCAGCAAUAAUCCCCCUCCCUGGCACUGCAGGACGUGGAGGAAGGAGUAGCAAAGGUGUGGAAUAUGUGCUGGACCAGCUUUUCUCUUGCUGCCUCAGAAUAAUGAUGCUCUGGUGGCUCUUGAGGGCCGGUCACACAGGAAGAACGAGCCAUGGGCUGCAGUCCUUCGGGCUUCCAGCUACCUCCACCCUAAGCCAGACCAGCCCCGUGGGGCCACGAGAAAUAGUUUAAAGAGGGUCAAAUUAUCAACAGGAUAAAAAUGUACCAUCACUGCUUCAUGACGAGAAAAAGCAGGAAGGGCUCACUGAAGAGAACUACUUAUACCCCAGGAGUUUCUGCUGAGAAUAGAGUUGUGUAAAUUGGAUUACCAGGGAUACAGCACUAUAAGAACAAAAACUCCACGGAUGAGGACGGACUUCCCUGACUUUUGUUCUGAACACCAUGGACCUUCACCCUUUGGAAAUGGAAAGGGAAUCCCAGGAAAACUUGGCACCAGCCCACGGGAAAAAGCAAAGCAGCCAAGGAAAGAGGUCCUGGCUCUGCACAGCACCACGGCCAGCCAGGGAGGAAUGAACGUGCUCUCAGAGCACCGAGGAAGCGCUGGUGGGGAAGUGUGAGCAAAGGCAGAGGGUCUGGGCAUGAAGCAGCGUUCACCAGGCUCUGCUCUUUAAGUCAUUUCCAGGCUCGUGUCAGUCAGCACAGAAGUGUCCAAAGUGGCUACAAAUGUCAGUGAGCAGGGUGAAAACAGUCCUGAAGUCUGGAGAAAUACAGCCCAAAGGUGAACAUCCUGCAGCCAUGUUUUCUGCAACAUGCAGAACUGGAGCACCACCUGCUAUUUAUCCAGCUCUGAAUGUAAGCAAAACCUUCACUGUGUCUGAACUUCUCAUUAAACAUUUGCACCACAAAUAACAAUACAAAAAAGCCCCAACAUCGAGGCUUCCUUGUUUCAUUUCUGAGCUGGAAGUUCUAAAUUCUCUUUGAAUCAGUCUUAAACUGGGAUGAAAAGAAAAAAGAAAAAGAACAUCACGAGAUCAUCAAGGCUGAGGAGCUGAAGAGUCAAGCAAUGAAAAGUUCAAGUGCCAGAACUGAGCUGCCCAGCUGCAAUUCCUCUGUCCCCCCUGUGCCUUUGCAGUGUGAGACGGAUUUCAAAUUACAGGAUUACAUGUGCUAGAGCAAGAUUAACCUUCCUUCACCAUGAGGUUAUUAUGCACCACAGGAAAGGGAAAGGACAGUCCAAACCUUUCAGGAACUGGGAGCAUCUUCUCACUCACGGAGAAGCUACGAGGCUGAAAAUGGAUGUUUAUCCUUGGAAAGACAUUUAACCUGUGCAGGAUCUUCUGGAUGUAACAUUAAUCUAUAUCCACUUAUACCAUGUCAUAGGAAGGCUUGCCUCAAUCCCUGUCUAGAAAAGGUCUCCUCCUACUCCUUUGGAGUCUUUGCUUCCACAGAAGUUCUACAAACACACAUUUACAGAACUGACUCACGUGCUUUUAACUCUUUUGUCACCAGUGGAAAACAACUGAAGUGCUACAAAAGAAACACGAAGAAAUCUGAGUUCCCAGCAGUGCUGCCAUCCAAGAACCAGCAGAGGAGCUGUGCCCCCUGGUCCUUGUGCCUUCUGCUUCGGCCACAGGUUCUCCUCCCCCUGCCCAGCUGAGAAAGUCUGGCCACGUCUGUGUUCUGUUCGGGACUUUCUGUAUCACCUGAUGCCUUCUUUUGUCCAGCAAAUCCCGAGGAACUGGCUGAGCAAACACAAAGAGCCCCCCUGCCAAGGCUCUGCUUUGUUCCAGCGGAAGGCUGGUGUUCCUGAGGAUUUUCCUGGGAGUGGUUCCCCUGCCCGAACGCUCCAAGGCCGCACAGGAUUUCUCCCAGGGGAAAACCAACAGCUUCCCAGCAGUGGUGCCACAGGCUGUGUCCUGGGGGCCUCCCAGCCUUCGUGGCCCAGGGAAGGAAAGCCUGGCCUUGCACAGACACCUGAGCCAAGCACACAGGCCGCUGUUUGCAGCAGGGCUGGCAGGGCAGACAUUGCCCUGGGAUUGCUGCAGGCUCACAGCCAGAGGCUCCCUGCAGGGAAAGAGCAGUUGGCUCUCCUGGCACUGAAACAUCAGGGAAGGAUCUUGCUCAUGUCCAGCCCUAGGAAUGGAGCUGAUGCUUUACUUCAUCCCUCACAAACCUUCCUUACAGUUUUUUCUCACAACAAGCUCUCAAUGCCUACUUUUCUUCUUCUGAUUUCAUCUAAUGUCUCCAGUACUUCCAACUUUGACUCUUUUCUCGUUUGCAGCUCUGGCACUUUACCCCUAAACCCCUGAGAGCUCCUGGCAGAGCUCCCUCAUGCCCACCCAGAGCAGCAGGGUUUGGUCAGAGUUCCAGGAGCAGCACAGGAGCUCAGAGCAAAGCAUCUGGACCCUCCAGUACAUGCAUGGAUACACUGGAGGCCUCAUGUCUUCAUUCUGAGCACCUCAGCCCACGUGAAUUUGUGAUCCUGAAGCUGAAACAGCGAGAGGCACAGCAGGACAUCAGCUCUGCCAGUGAACUCACUGCUAUCAAAUGCUCCAGAAGACAACCUGGCCGACCUCUGCACUCACAGACAGGGCACCCCCAGUCCUCUGAGGGGGAAGGGGUGUCCAACAACUUCGUCAUCAUGGAACACAGGCAACUGAUAGGGUUUGAUUCCUUAUUCUCAUUCAGACAAUAAGUUCAAACAACUCCAAAUGCAACCUCCUGGCUGUCUCCUCAUGAGCUUCACCCAUUUCUUCUACACAGAGAUGAGUCUGGCCACAGAGUUUGAAUAUGAAAGCUCAUCUCCAUCCCACAAAUUGCCAGCAUGUUUUUAGCCCAAGGCUAAAGCAAACACCUGUGUUCAGAUGCUCAGUCCCUGCAUUCAGGGAUGAGAAGGGCUGGCCCAGCCCCACAGAACCCCCAUCCCCUGGCAGACACAUUGGCACGGCCCCAAAAGCAUCCAAAGGCACCGCUGAGCGUGCAGAGACACGGAGCACCUUCCCAAGGCUCCAAACAGGGCUUUCACAUUUCUCUCUCCCCCCUCCAUUGUCUACCUUUUUAAAAACAGUUGUAUUAAAAGGGAAACACACCAAA